rnacentral:ncRNA from 2 species
CCCACCGGGAGUUUUCCUGGUAUCCCGGUGGGCCAGUCCGACACUGCUCUGCUGGAUGUGUGGAGUAGUGGAGGCCU